rfam:Rhizobiales bacterium TMED94 7396, whole genome shotgun sequence.
UCUCUUCAAAUUUUAUUUAAUAAAUUGUAUAAAAGAAAUGCUGGUUUACCAGAUAUAGUGAUAAACGGUUGAUAUAAUAAACUAUUCGGACCCGGGGGCGGUACCCGGCACCUCCACCAUAAUUAUGGGGGUGAAAUAGGAUCGACGAGAGCGUAAAAAUCUUCUUUUCACUCGGCAUUGUUCCGCCGUUAUCGGGCUAUUUUAUAGAAGCAAAAAGCGACUAUGCAGAGUAUUCUCUCGCAGCUUAAUGCGCGAGUUACUCAACUUAACUCCUAAUUAUUUGCAUAAUUAGGCGGGGUUUGAGGGGCACCUGGCAACAGAAGCUCCUUGUU